rnacentral:rRNA from 1 species
GGAAGGGGUGUAUUUAUUAGAUAAAAAACCAAUGCCCUUUGGGCUCCUUGGUGAUUCAUAAUAACUUAACGAAUCGCAUGGCCUUGCGCCGGCGAUGGUUCAUUCAAAUUUCUGCCCUAUCAACUUUCGAUGGUACGGUAGUGGCCUACCAUGGUCUCAACGGGUAACGGGGAAUUAGGGUUCUAUUCCGGAGAGGGAGCCUGAGAAACGGCUACCACAUCCAAGGAAGGCAGCAGGCGCGCAAAUUACCCAAUCCCAAUUCGGGGAGGUAGUGACAAUAAAUACUGAUACGGGGCUCUUUUGGGUCUCGUAAUUGGAAUGAGUACAAUCUAAAUCCCUUAACGAGGAACAAUUGGAGGGCAAGUCUGGUGCCAGCAGCCGCGGUAAUUCCAGCUCCAAUAGCGUAUAUUAAAGUUGUUGCCGUUAAAAAGCUCGUAGUUGAACCUUGGGUCUGGCUGAUCUGUCCUCCUAAUCGAGCGCACGGAUUCGGUCGGACCUUUCCUUCUGGGGAACCGCAUGCCCUUCACUGGGCGUGUCGGGGAACCAGGACUUUUAC